UACGUAGGUGGCAAGCGUUGUCCGGAUUUACUGGGCGUAAAGGGCGUGUAGGCGGUCUGUUAAGUGCAGGGUGAAAGCUCCCGGCUCAACUGGGAGAGGUCCUUGCAUACUGGCGGACUUGAGGGGGGUAGAGGAAAGUGGAAUUCCCGGUGUAGUGGUGAUAUGCGUAGAUAUCGGGAGGAACACCUGUGGCGAAGGCGGCUUUCUGGGCCCUACCUGACGCUGAGACGCGAAAGCGUGGGGAGCGAACCGG
rnacentral:rRNA from 1 species